rnacentral:rRNA from 1 species
UGAGGAAUAUUGCCCAAUGGAGGAAACUCUGAGGCAGCAACGCCGCGUGAACGAUGACGGCCUUCGGGUUGUAAAGUUCUUUUCUCAGGGAAGAUAAUGACGGUACCUGAGGAAUAAGUCCCGGCUAACUACGUGCCAGCAGCCGCGGUAAAACGUAGGGGACAAGCGUUAUCCGGAUUUACUGGGCGUAAAGCGCCCGUAGGCGGCUUUUUAAGUUGGACGUGAAAGCUCCCGGCUUAACUGGGAGAGGCCGUUCAAAACUGAGAAGCUCGAGUGAGGAAGAGGAGAGCAGAAUUCCCGGUGUAGUGGUGGAAUGCGUAGAGAUCGGGAGGAAUACCAGUGGCGAAAGCGGCUCUCUGGUCCUAAACUGACGCUGAGGGGCGAAAGCGUGGGGAGCGAA